UACGUAGGGGGCAAGCGUUGUCCGGAAUUAUUGGGCGUAAAGAGCGCGUAGGCGGUCCGAUAAGUCGGCUGUGAAAGUCAGGGGCUCAACCCUUGAAAGCCGGCCGAUACUGUCGGACUAGAGUCCGGAAGAGGCAAGUGGAAUUCCCGGUGUAGCGGUGAAAUGCGCAGAUAUCGGGAGGAACACCAAUGGCGAAGGCAGCUUGCUGGGACGGUACUGACGCUGAGGCGCGAAAGCGUGGGAGGCAA
rnacentral:rRNA from 1 species